rnacentral:tRNA from 1 species
GCCGGAGUGGUGGAAUUGGCAGACGCGCCGGACUCAAAAUCCGGUGGAGCUCAAACUCCGUGAGGGUUCAAAUCCCUCCUCCGGCA